rnacentral:rRNA from 1 species
UGGGGAAUAUUGGACAAUGGGCGCAAGCCUGAUCCAGCCAUGCCGCGUGGGUGAAGAAGGCCUUAGGGUUGUAAACCCCUUUCACCGGUGACGAUGAUGACGGUAGCCGGAGAAGAAGCCCCGGCUAACUCCGUGCCAGCAGCCGCGGUAAUACGGAGGAUGCAAGCGUUAUCCGGAAUGAUUGGGCGUAAAGCGUCUGCAGGUGGCUAUGCAAGUCUGCUGUUAAAGAGUGGAGCUCAACUCCAUAAGGGCAGUGGAAACUGCGUAACUAGAGUACGUUCGGGGUAGAGGGAAUUCCUGGUGUAGCGGUGAAAUGCGUAGAUAUCAGGAAGAACACCGGUGGCGAAAGCGCUCUACUAGGCCGUAACUGACACUGAGAGACGAAAGCUAAGGGAGCGAAUGGGAUUAGAUACCCCCGUAGUCC